UAAUACGGAGGGUGCAAGCGUUGUUCGGAAUUAUUGGGCGUAAAGAGCGUGUAGGCGGUUAGAUAAGUCAGAUGUGAAAGCCCUGGGCUCAACCCAGGAAGUGCAUCUGAAACUAUUUGACUUGAGUACGGGAGAGGGAAGUGGAAUUCCUGGUGUAGGGGUGAAAUCCGUAGAUAUCAGGAAGAACACCGGUGGCGAAGGCGACUUCCUGGGCCGAUACUGACGCUGAGACGCGAAAGCAUGGGGAGCAAACAGGAUUAGAUACCCUGGUAGUCCAUGCCGUAAACGAUGGGCACUAGGUGUAGCGGGUAUUGACCCCUGCUGUGCCGAAGCUAACGCAUUAAGUGCCCCGCCUGGGGAGUACGGCCGCAAGGCUA
rnacentral:rRNA from 1 species